rnacentral:lncRNA from 1 species
CAUCGUCAGAAUACUCCAUCUGCCAUCAGUGAUUCUACCGUAAUGUUAUGAAGCGACGAGAUUACUUUUUGUACACGAAGAAACAAAAAUAACAACUUUAUUCAACAAUUCCUCUCCUCUGUGUCUCUCCAAAUCAGUGUAGUGCCAUUUUGACAAAUCUGAGCAGUACGCAGUUGGCAUACGCUCUUCUGUAUCAGCCGCAACACUUUGGUUUGAAAGACAACAGCGCAACACGGCUGACACAGAAGAGCAUACGCCAUCUGCGUACUGCUCAGGUUUGUCAAAGACAAAUUUGGAGAGAGACAGAGGAGAGGAAUUGUUGAAUAAAGUCAUUACUUUUGUUUUACUACCGGUUUUCAUCCAAAAUAUCUGAAAUUGUGUUUAGCAGAUGAACAAACGGAUUUGGAACAAGAUGGGGGUAAGUGAUUGACAACAUUUUUAUUUUGGGAUGGAGUAUCCAACCAUCCAUUGAUUAUUCACCAACUGAAAAUAUUUCUAAAUUAAUUUUUCAUCAUUACACAUUGUUUUCAAUAAUCCUGAGACUUCAUUUUAACGUUUUAAUCAGACACCAUUGAUUUGAACAAUAUAAAGGUUGCUUUAUGUCAUUAAAUAUUGCCAAAAAUAUGGUCACCGUUUGUAUGCAUUUUAGUGUUUCCAGCCCUUCAUCUCUCUCUGUCUCACCUUCAUCAUUCUCUUACACUCAUCAGUAGUGUGUGUUCGUGACUGUGCUGGUGGGUGUGUACGCUGAUCUGUGAAAUUAUGAAUGGGGUGUGUGUGUGUGCGCGUGUAUGUGAGAGAGAGAAAAAGGGAGGGAUGGAAAGACACUGCAUCAUGAAAGGAGAAAGAUUCACUCACUCGCUGCUCACCUUCACAGACAGACAGGAGAAGGGUGGCUGCACAGCUAGAUCAGAUUGUGUUUGAGGAGACACUCCGUCUGAGCUCAAGACUAAAUCAUGGAUCAGAAGGUGUGUAAAACUUGCUGAGCUGACAGAACAUGGCUGUUUUGCAGAGUGCUCAUUUUACUGUGCUGAAUUUCUCUCUCUCUUUCUGUGUGUGUGUGUGGUGUGUUGUUUUGCAGUCCACUUCACCCCAGAGACAUGCGGUGAAAAGCAGGUCGAAGUCUACAGAGGAAGUCCAGCAAGCUAAAAAGGCCUUCCACAUCCCCCAGAAAUCACUGCCUGGAGGGUCAGAGCUGGAAAAGGUGAAGGUGAGUGUUGAACCUUGUGUUUGUCAUGACAAAAUAUUCCUAUAAUGAUAGCAAAACCUGAACAAAAAGUUUAAUGGACGGAGAAAUAAAUGCCUCUGACUAGAAAAAAAAAAAAAGCUAUUUAUUUAUUUGAAAAAUAAAUAUUUUACAUAUAUGCAUUUGACAUAAAUAUAUAUAAAAACAAUACAUUACAUAAAAAAAUAAAUACGUUGAUAAUUUAAAUUAAAGAAAAAUAAAUAUUUUAAAGUAAUAUUUUCCCCAAUGUUUAGUUUAUUUUUCAAUGCAUUUACUUAUUGUCAGUAAAUAAAGUAAAUACUACUAAAUGGCCCAUUUACUUCCAUUAUAAAUGCUCUUUUUGCAUAAAGAGCAUAAAGAGUCCAAAAGAGUUAAAAUGCUUCUCUGUGGUAACUGGUCAUUUCUAGCAAAAUAGGGCUGUGAUAUCUAUUUAAUGUGCUCUUUUAGGAAGAAAAAAAAAAAAAAAUUUUCAUGCACCUGUCAAGGUUGAGAUUUUGGCCUUUUUGGUGUUUCAUAGUGUGUUCCAGACUUGUUGAAAGAAAACAUACAAAAGACACUGUUAAAUGUUUCUUUUAUAGCAUUUUAUCUAUUUGUCAAUAGAUUUCAAUUACAAUGUUUUUCUCCUGCACUGAGCCAUAAAUCUCCACUUCAUUAGCACUUACACACACCAAACUUUACAUUUGUAUUCCUGUCUAUAUCCUGAAGGUUUUUACAGAGGGAUUUGUUCAUCAAUAAUUUGCUUGAUUAUGUACAUCAUUUUAUGCCCCCCAAAAUUGUGAAAAUAUAUUGUUUUCUGUCUAAGUAUUUUCUCAAUUAUAGAGUGACAAAAAUGAGAGACCCAAAAUUCCCUGCGUAAAAACAUUUCUUCAAAAGGUCAAAAAAUUUAACAAGAAUUUUGAAACUGACUUCAUCCAGUUUUUAGAUUGGUUUAAUGAUCUAUCAUUACCUAGCUCUUAAAGAUUUUAUAUAGAACAGAUGAAUUUAAUAUACAUAUAUCCAGCAUGAUAUAAAACUGUGUAUUGAUCUCUUGGUUCUGUAUGUUUCAGGAGGGACCAGAAGAAAAUGUGACUCCAGCAUCAUCCACAGAAGAGCUAAAGUGAUGCUGCCAUUAAUCUGUGUUUCUCUCACAAACAUAAAGAAAAUGCUUGGUUUGGUAUGGUACAGUUAAAGCAUUGGCUCCUUCUUUUGUUCUUUUCUUUUUGUUAGAUUUUCAGUACAGCUCAGCACAUGCAUAAUUAUGAAAACUAGUCGAUCUGCAGCACAUUCAGUCUGCAUCUCUGUACACUGACAGUACAGAUAUAAACACAAAAAAAAUUCUAUAAACACAAUGCUUUCACUAUGAACAUAAGGGCAUGUGUGCUUUUACAGUAAAGAAGGUCAAGUUAAAUUUAAAUCAGUUUAAAUUGAUAGUAUCUUUGCUAUUUUUUAUUACGUCAUCACAAUUUCUGCACAGCCAGUAGGUGCUGCUGUUAAUGUGUUGGCAGUCAUAUUAAUAUUCUGGGUGUCUGACAUCAUAAAUCUACAGAGCCCCUAAAGGGACAUUGUGAUGGAAAAAAUAUGAGAUGGAAGAAUUAUAUUUCAAUGCUUUUGUACUGAAUGCUUUUGCAUUUUAUAGGAAGUUAUAGGAAGCAAAGUUAGUGCAAACACAGUUUCUUGAGGGAAUGUAAAUGUUUUACAAAUAAAUGUAAUUUUUUCCUCCCAUCUAUUUUUUUUCAAACCAUCUUGUCUUUUUAGGGGCUCCAUAGAAUCCCUCAGAUAUCAAAAUAAGUCUUUUUUUUUUUUCAAUUUAGUUUCUUUUGUGUUCUGAAAGUUACAGCACAUUAAUUUCUAAGAACGCUUAAUGCAGGCUUGUUUCUACAAUCUAUGUUUGUUGAAUGUUUUUCACUCCACACUAGCUCUCUCAUGUAUUUGGGCUCCUGUAAGUCAAAUAGUGUCAGACGCUCAUUCGUUGACUUAUUUAUUGGCAUCAGCUGAACAGAGCUGACAUACAGUAUGAGUCAGCUGAAGAUGUUGUGUAAGUGUUUACAGUAUCCAUAAGUUAAACAGUUUGUGCUAAUAAAGUUUUAACCACUCAUCAUGCUAAAGUUCAGUGAUGAAGCAUCCCAGCAUCUCACACCUGUAAACAAGUUACAUGAAAUCUGUGCAGUCUGUGUAAUGCAAGCAGUUUCUGACCAAAAUAAAAUUAAACUACCAUCAACAAGUGUUAAGGUAAGAUUUAAGUAACCCAUAAAAAAAAGUACAUACCAGGAUGUAUCACUUGCUCAGCAAUGGAUCCUCUGCAGUGAAUGGGUGCCGAUCA